rnacentral:rRNA from 1 species
UGGGGAAUAUUGCACAAUGGGCGCAAGCCUGAUGCAGCCAUGCCGCGUGUAUGAAGAAGGCCUUCGGGUUGUAAAGUACUUUCAGCGGGGAGGAAGGGAGUAAAGUUAAUACCUUUGCUCAUUGACGUUACCCGCAGAAGAAGCACCGGCUAACCCCGUGCCAGCAGCCGCGGUAAUACGGAGGGUGCAAGCGUUAAUCGGAAUUACUGGGCGUAAAGCGCACGCAGGCGGUUUGUUAAGUCAGAUGUGAAAUCCUCGGGCUCAACCUGGGAACUGCAUCUGAUACUGGCAAGCUUGAGUCUCGUAGAGGGGGGUAGAAUUCCAGGUGUAGCGGUGAAAUGCGUAGAGAUCUGGAGGAAUACCGGUGGCGAAGGCGGCCCCCUGGACGAAGACUGACGCUCAGGUGCGAAAGCGUGGGGAGCAAACAGG